rnacentral:rRNA from 1 species
ACAGCAGUCGCCGCGGGAAUACGGAGGGUGCAAGCGUUAAUCGGAAUUACUGGGCGUAAAGCGCACGCAGGCGGUUUGUUAAGUCAGAUGUGAAACCCCCGAGCUUAACUUGGGAACUGCAUUUGAAACUGGCAAGCUAGAGUCUUGUAGAGGGGGGUAGAAUUCCAGGUGUAGCGGUGAAAUGCGUAGAGAUCGGGAGGAACAUCAGUGGCGAAGGCGGCCAUCUGGGACAACACUGACGCUGAGGCACGAAAGCGUGGGGAGCAAACAGGAUUAGAUACCCGUGUAGUCCCUGUCUCUUAUAC